AGCGAACGCUGGCGGCAGGCCUAACACAUGCAAGUCGAACGAACCUUUCGGGGUUAGUGGCGGACGGGUGAGUAACACGUGGGAACGUGCCUUUAGGUUCGGAAUAACUCAGGGAAACUUGUGCUAAUACCGAAUGUGCCCUUCGGGGGAAAGAUUAAUCGCCUUUAGAGCGGCCCGCGUCUGAUUAGCUAGUUGGUUGAGGUAAUGGCACACCAAGGCGACGAUCAGUAGCUGGGCUGAGAGGAUGAUCAGCCACAUUGGGACUGAGACACGGACCAAACUCCUACGGGAGGCAGCAGUGGGGAAUCUUGCGGAAUGGGCGAAAGUCUGACGCAGCCAUGCCGGGUGAAUGAUGAAGGUCUUAGGAUUGUAAAAUUCUUUCACCGGGGACGAUAAUGACGGUACCCGGAGAAGAAGCCCCGGCUAACUUCGUG
rnacentral:rRNA from 1 species